CGGAGGGUGCAAGCGUUAUCCGGAUUUACUGGGUUUAAAGGGUGCGUAGGUAGGUCUGUAAGUCAGUGGUGAAAUCUCCGGGCUUAACCCGGAAACUGCCAUUGAUACUAUAGGUCUUGAAUACUCUGGAGGUAAGCGGAAUAUGUCAUGUAGCGGUGAAAUGCUUAGAUAUGACAUAGAACACCAAUUGCGAAGGCAGCUUACUACGGGGUCAUUGACACUGAGGCACGAAAGCGUGGGGAUCAAACAGGAUUAGAUACCCUGGUAGUCCACGCCCUAAACGAUGGAUACUCGACAUCAGCGAUACACUGUUGGUGUCUGAGCGAAAGCAUUAAGUAUCCCACCUGGGAAGUACGAUCGCAAGAUUG
rnacentral:rRNA from 1 species